GGUAGCCGUACCGGAAGGUGUGGCUGGAUCACCUCCUUUUGAGGGAGACCUACCCGACUUUGAUUAUCGAAAGCGAUCUGGCAAAUAGAUACAAAGAAGGUCAUUCCUAGGUCGGUCUUGGGACUUGAUGGGGCUUUCAAACUAUGAUUUGGUUCGAUUGGGCUAUUAGCUCAGGUGGUUAGAGCGCACCCCUGAUAAGGGUGAGGUCCCUGGUUCGAGUCCAGGAUGGCCCACCUGAAGGUAAUUAGUAAUUGGUAAUUCGUAAUUAACUACGAAUUAAGAAUUACGAAUUAUUGAUGGGGGUUUAGCUCAGUUGGUAGAGCGCCUGCUUUGCAAGCAGGAUGUCAGCGGUUCGAGUCCGCUAACCUCCACCUGUAAAAAGCCAAAAACACAAGGGAUGAAAUUCAGCAACAUGACACAGAUAGUAAUGUCAGACUGCUGAGUGAAUCUCAGCCAGAACCUUGAAAACUGCAUAGUAACGCGAAACAAUAGCAGGCAGACACAGACAUUGAUCAGAUGAUUGUGUUUGCAGGUGAACACCAAUGUAAAAAUCUAAUUAGUAAUUGCCAAUUAGUAAUUACGAAUUAGACAGUGGUCAAGCUAAUAAGGGCUGACGGUGGAUACCUAGGCACACAGGAAAGGGCGAAGAAUACCCACCUUCACAAACCACCUGAGCAGAAA
rnacentral:tRNA from 1 species